CACAAAGAGAAAGACUUAUUGUCUCCAUUACCCUUGUUUUAUGCUUGGGAUGCUCUCAGUUGCUUGAAGGGUCCAGCCUAUGACCCUGAGACGGACAUUUUGACAUAAUGAAGGUGGCAGAGCAGAAGGAUGGAAAGUGCUUGGGUCCUCCAUGACAUUUCUGGGUCACGAAACUCACCUGGGGACCACCUACCUUCUUGGGUCCAGUGGGGAGACUCCUUCCUGAUCCGGGUGAAUUAUACUUCAUGGACAGCAAUUAAUCCACAAUAACAUCCCUGUCUUGUCUCUUGGGUUGUGAACGUGGGAAGCCAAGCCAGAGUGCAGUUCUGAAC
rnacentral:lncRNA from 1 species